rnacentral:rRNA from 1 species
UGCCUGCCCAGUGACCAUGUGUUCAACGGCCGCGGUAUUCUGACCGCGCGAAGGUAGCGUAAUCACUUGUUUUUUAAAUAAAGACUAGUAUGAAUGGCCCCACGAGGACUUAACUGUCUCCCUUGUCCAAUCAGUGAAACUGAUCUCCUCGUGCAGAAGCGAGGAUUCUCUCAUAAGACGAGAAGACCCUAUGGAGCUUUAAACUAAAAUCAACUAUUAUUCCUCUAUCCUCUAAGGACCCAAUAAACAGCUAAAUAUGCUUGAUUUAAGUUUUAGGUUGGGGCGACCAUGGAGAAAAAGAAAUCCUCCCUGAUGACCACAAACCAAGAGCCACUGCUCUAAGUAUUAAGACACUUAACUCUAAUUGACCCAUUUUAUGAUCAACGAACCAAGUUACCCUAGGGAUAACAGCGCAAUCCAUUUCAAGAGUCCCUAUCGACAAAUGGGUUUACGACCUCGAUGUUGGAUCAGGGCAUCCAAGUGGUGCAACCGCUACUAAUGGUUCGUUUGUUCAACGAUUAAAGCCCUACGUGAUC